AUACGAAGGGGGCUAGCGUUGCUCGGAAUCACUGGGCGUAAAGGGCGCGUAGGCGGCCAAUCAAGUCGGGGGUGAAAGCCCAGGGCUCAACCCUGGAAUUGCCUUCGAUACUGUUUGGCUAGAGACCGGAAGAGGUUAGUGGAACUGCGAGUGUAGAGGUGAAAUUCGUAGAUAUUCGCAAGAACACCAGUGGCGAAGGCGGCUAACUGGUCCGGUUCUGACGCUGAGGCGCGAAAGCGUGGGGAGCAAACAGGA
rnacentral:rRNA from 1 species